rnacentral:lncRNA from 1 species
GUGAUACUUGACAGAUCAAUCUGGGUUGGUUCUUUUGAUUUUCUCAAUUUGCUCGUCUAUCUCAAUACGCAAGUACAAGUUUGAAGUCGGGUCGUAACUACAAGUUUCAUAGUCGGGUCACAACUCUGAAUUUUCAUAGUCGAGUCACAACAACAAACUCCAUCAUUUAGAAAGAUGAUGAUUUUUCAAUAAAAAAAAUAAAAAAAACAUGAGACAACUACAUGCCUUCAACGGGGAUCGCCGCAAUUGCAUGUCUGCAAUGGGUCGCCGCAACUGCAUGUCUUCGAUGGGGUUUGCCGCAAUUGCAUGCCUUUCAAUAGAUGUUGUUUGUUGUUGUUGUUGAUGUGACCGCGUGCCCGCCGUAACUGCAUGCCCUC